CCUACGGGUGGCUGCAGUCGAGGAUCUUCGGCAAUGGGGGCCACCCUGACCGAGCGAUGCCGCGUGGGCGACGAAGGCCUUCGGGUUGUAAAGCCCUGUCGAGGGGGGGAAAUUCUGAUCUACCCCUGGAGGAAGCUCGGGCUAAGUUCGUGCCAGCAGCCGCGGUAAGACGAACCGAGCGAACGUUGUUCGGAAUCACUGGGCUUAAAGGGCGCGUAGGCGGGCCGGACAGUCCGGGGUGAAAUCCUCCCGCUCAACGGGAGAACGGCCCCGGAUACUAUCGGUCUGGAGGCGGGUAGGGGCGUGCGGAACACUGGGUGGAGCGGUGAAAUGCGUUGAUAUCCAGUGGAACUCCGGUGGCGAAGGCGGCACGCUGGACCCGUACUGACGCUGAGGCGCGAAAGCCAGGGGAGCGAACGGGAUUAGAUACCCCUGUAGUC
rnacentral:rRNA from 1 species